rnacentral:rRNA from 1 species
GACGAACGCUGGCGGCGUGCUUAACACAUGCAAGUCGAACGAAGUGGCGAACGGGUGAGUAACGCGUAAUCAACCUGCCCUUCAGAGGGGGACAACAGUUGGAAACGACUGCUAAUACAGCAUACUGAAGGAGGGGAUUGCGUCUGAUUAGCUAGUUGGAGUGGUAACGGCCCACCAAGGCGAUAGUCAGUCGCCGGGCUUAGAUGAUUGACCACAACAAUGGGACUGAGCACAGGCCCAGACUCCUACGGGAGGGAGCAGGGGGGAAUCUUCCGCAAUGGACGGAAGUCUGACGGAGCAACGCCGCGGUAGAGAUGACGGCCUUCGGGUUGUAAAGCUCUGUUAAUCGGGACGCGGUACCGGAAUAGAAAGCCACGGCUAACUACGUGCCAGCAGCCGCGGUAAUUC